GAAUGAAACAAAUCCAUCCAUUGUUGUUUUUCAGUUACAGAAGCUGCCACAGCAAGCCAGUUGUGUGAAUUUAGUCUAAUUGGGUUCCAGUGAUCAGUUUCAGCAUACUAACACAUGGCCACAUACAAAUACACAUAGAAUGUGGCUCACCUCAUGGUCUCAUUACAUUCUGAGAAAGUGAGCAGCGAAGCCUGAGUCACGAGCUGCUCAGAAUUAGAUUACUUUAGCCUUCACUUCCAGGCAGCUCCUACCUAAUGCAGAAAUGCAUGUUUUCCAGUAAGACCAACAUUGUUCACUACUGUUGCUAAGUCGAAGGAUAACAGGCUUGUAGAUCAUUUACGACUUAAUUUAAAGGUUUAGCCCCCAGAGGGAACGUGAGAGAGGGAGAGAGAGAGGGAGUGUAAUGAAAUAAAACAGAUUUUAUGCUAAUUGCGUCCGUGCACGAUAAAGUGCACUAGGUCCAUUUAGCUUAUUGAUUGAGAGGGAGCUGUGGAGCAGCUGUCAGUCAGUUCAGCGUGCCACUGGGGAACAGGCAGAGUAACACCGUCAGGAAUACAGUGUACUCAGAUGAUCGUGAUUCUGGCUAUUGUUCCUCUUCAGUUCUCUAAAGUCAAGGUCUAUUCAAGGGGUCCGUGGAGGCCAAAAUAAAGAAAGGCUUUAGCACAUUCCUGAAGGAGUUUUGAACAUUGAAUCAGUGGCUUAUUAAGUACCAGAAAAACUAGAAGAGGAAGCAGAAACCAAAUAAAGAAAGUGGAAGACUAAAAGGAAUAAAUUGGACACAGAGUAUGGAACAUGAUGGAAAAGAAUCAGAUAAAAGGUACACAGACUUACAGAAACCAAUUUAUCCUGGUCAGGGUUACGGUGGGAGUGAGGCUGGAAUACACCCGGGCUGGGAGACUAAACUGUGUAGUAUAAUAGUGCACUUUAUGUGGAACUGUGUGAUUGCUCUAGUCCACAUUACCUUGGUGUUUUAAGUAGCUUUAUGUCUUGAGGAAUGUUGUUUCAUUUCACUAUGUCCUGUACCAGCUAUGUAUGGUUCAAAUGAUAAUAAAAACUUCUUGACUCCUGACCUGACAGAUCAGGUGACAAUCAAGUGUUCUUGCUGACAAUAUUACCUCUUUUUACUAAAGGAUUUUGUUGAUGUGUCUAUGUUCAGCACUGAAUAUCUUUGUCGUAUUACUCUACAGUGGUGUUUAAUGACUCAUAUGAAAGUAGGCACUCAGAAGUUUUUAUCUAGCCUGAUAUAUUCAUAGAAAUGUUCCAGAAAACAAAAACAGCUAUAUUUUUUUUUUGUUUUUUGCAUAAAUGUCUUUGAAGUAAUUGAUGAUAUCAAACCCAUUUCUGAUCUCUGAGAUACCCCAAGUGAUUGUUCAUAGCUAUCUAAAAUUUGAAGGUGUUUUUUGAACCAUUAAAAUUCUGUGUAAGGUUUACCAACAGAGGGAAAAUCACACACCUCACACUGAAAGCCAACAGAGUCCUGACUCACUUUAUAUUAUAAUUCAUUUGUUAUUACUGACUGAAAACAUAAAAUAAGUCAAUUUUCUGCCAGCUAAAGAGAACUCCAGUGUACUGGUAAAUAAAAAGGUUAAUUUAUAAUACUACUGUAUAAGUAUAAUUAGAAGUCUAAAACAUGUGGAAUGUUUCAAUCUCGUGCCCUUAUUAAGGGUUUAUUCACCUUCUUUUAUCGCUCUAUCCCUGACAUUAUUGUAAAUCUCAGGCCCUGAACCAUAGUGCUGUUUUACAACAGGCGGCAUUGUUGAGCACAGACGUGCUGUUUUCUUAUUAGCAAUUAGUUACACUCCAAUCUGUCAGCUGCUACACAUGGAAAUGGCGUGUUGACUGACAGCUUUGUGGGUUUUAGGGAACAUUCCUGCGGUCACACUAGGCAGUUUGUGAGACAUCACAAUACUUCCUGUUUUAGGAAUGACUGUCUUCACUUGACCACUUUUCUAGUAUAUACACUUGUCUUUUAUGUGCUAUUAUGGUGCAUUGUUGUUCUUUAAAGCUGAGGUACAUAUGGUGAGGAGGAUGAAGAAGUGAGAGAGAAGGUGGAAGGUAAAGGAGGCGUGGUAGGAUGGAAAGGAAAGAGAACAAGAAGGUGGUUGAUGGAAAUGGUUACGGUUCUACACUCCCACUGGAUCCAUUUUAUUUUUAUUUAAGCACAGGUUUCAUUAAGUGGGUAUAAUUUAUAAAUGUACAUGUAAGCAGAAAGCUUUCUGGGCACAGGUUGAUUCUAACCAGUGUAGCAUGGCCAUAAGUGGAGCUAUUUCAGUUGGAAUUGUAAAGCAUUGUAACAUUCACUCCUUCCAAUAAUCCUGUUAAUAAACUGUACUAGACCAUAUGUGGAACAUGCAGUGGGGUGUUGUUACUCUGUUCUAUGUUAAAAUGGAAAAAUGCUGUUAAGGGAGGUGCCACUGUUUACAGUGCU